GUGAGAUUUAAGUUUCACAAUUUUGUUGUAGCCCUAAACAGGAACACCAGAUUCGUUAAUGAAGAGUUUAAUGAUUAGAUGACAUGUGCUAGCUCUGGAGAAUAUCAUCAACCCCACUCACUUCCUAACUUGGAAAUUCAUUGUUGACUGAGUUAUGAUAGAGAUUGAAAUGACUUAUUAUGCAAAGCAAUUCUUACUGUCUUACAUCGAGAGGGGUCAGCUGAGGUGGCGACCGGCUUAAUGCGCCUUAGACAGGGAACAAGCAUGGCCUGUCGUUCCGUAUGGUGGCGGCACCCAGUGGCUGGAAUUAGACCGGCUCUACGGACCGCUUUUCGCAGGAGACUGGGAACUGAGGUCCAGAUGGAGCUGGCGUGUGUCAGCAAUUCCAUGCGGCUGGAUGUCUGUCUGUCUGGGAAUUAUGAGGCUCACUGCAGAGGAAGGAGAACGAUGGAGUCAGUGGGGUCUGUAACUGUUCUGCGGUGAGAAGGGGCACUCCUGGAAGGGAUGUGCCUCGGUUCUGGCGCAGAGCUGGAAGGGGGUGAGUAGCCAGGCAGCACAGGCUGGCACAUUAGGUGUCUUACGUUUGCUUAACAUAGCGAGCCCUUUCUGUUGCUCAGUGGUGUUGUCUUGUGGUUUUUCCUCUCAUACAUCCACAGCCCUGAUUGACUCUGGUGCUGAGGGGAGCUUCAUCAACCGGUCCCUAGUGUUUGCUCUCGGGCUGCCGUUGCGCCGUCUGAGGUCCUCGAUGUCCAUCCAGGAUUUCGAUGGCCAUCCCAUGGGAUCUGGUUCCAUUACCCACGUGACCCGCCCGCUCACUCUCACCAUCAACGGCUGCCAUCGAGAGAGACUGGAAUUAAAGGGGAUCGUCCAUACACCCCAUCAUCCUGGGGUCCAAAAACUAAACCCCAACAUCACCUGGAGUAAACUGAAGAUUCUGGGAUGGUCACCGGAGUGUCGGAAGAUCUGCUUGUCCAUCAUGGGUGGAGCCAUGUUGUCAGGUCCUGGCUGGGGUGCCUCUAUGCACCUGGGGGCCACAGCCAGGGCCUGACCGUGGGGAUGCCUCUUUGCAUUUCUGUGCAUCUGAUUUCUUUUCUCCCCAUAGGCAGUUGCAGGGUGACAGGACCCCACACCACCGACUUGCCCCCUGGACAAGACCUAUGUGACCCAGAGAGUGCAGGGCCGGUUGGUGACCUGGGCACACACUACACCAGCGACUGGGCAUCCAGGCAUCAACCAGACCUUGGAGGCACUCCGGGAAAAGUACUGGUGGCCCGGCAUGGGAAAGUGCCGCAAUACUUCCUCUCCUGCACAGUGUGCACGCAGUCAAAGGCCCCGCCAGCGAAUCCAGUGGGCAAGCUCCACCCCCUUCCAGUACCUCAGCGACCCUGGUCCAACCUCUCCGUGGACUUCGUGACGGACCUGCCACGGUCAAAUGGGAAAACCAUAAUUGACAUGGUAGUGGACUGAUUCUCAAAGAUGGUCAGGUUCAUUCCACUGCCCAGCCUCCUCUCUGCCCUCCAGUUCGCUGAGGUGCUGUUCCAGCAGGUUUUCCGGCUGUAUGGACAUCCAGAGUACAUUGUCUCUGACCGCGGCCCCCAGUUCACAUCUUGGUUAUGGAAAGCCUUCAUUUCCAGGCUGGGGGUUGUGAUCAGCCUCACGUCUGGGUACCACCUGCACAGCAACAGGAAGGUGAAGUGUACCAACCAAGAACUGGAGAGUUUCCUCUGGUCCUACAGCCAAGAUAGACCAGGUGAAUGGGCCCGUUUUCUCCCCUGGGCUGAGAACACUCAGUACUCCCUACGCCAUUCCUCCACAGGUCUCACCCCCUUCUAGGUGGUCCUCAGUUUCCAGCCCCUGCUGUGCCGCUGGAUGGGGGAUUCCAGCGAUGUCUAGGCUGUGGAAGAGUGGUUCAAGAAGUCUGACGAGUUCUAGUCCGCCGCCUAUGUCUGCCUGCAGGAGGCAAUGUGGUGACAGAAAGUGCAGGCCGGUAGUGCCUGGUCCACUGGAGGGAUCUAGUCAUGUAGUGGCACUGUGGGUUCUCUUCCUCUUUGACGCUUCACCUCGCUGGUGUACUAACCGCCUGAUGGAGCAGAUGGCAGCAACGCACCUGUCUCACACACACACCUGUUUUGAGGUUGUUUAUUACGAUGUCUAUUUUAGUUCCUGGUGAAUUUUAGUUCCUGGUGAAAUAACCAUAAUUCUUCAUGUCGGUGUUGUUUUGUUUCUUUCGUUUUUGCCUCUCCUUUAUGCACUUGCUUCCAUCACACCUCACAUCCACAGUAUAUGGGCAAAAGUUCGCUGUUAUUCCCAUGCAUUCUCUAUUCAAAUAACAUAUUGACCAAGACAAAUAUUACCUGAAUACCAGACAGGAUUGCAGUUACAUUGAAGUUUUUGAGUGUAAUCAGCUGCUUUGUUUUUAACUAAUUACAUAAAAUGCAAGCAAAUCUGUUGAAUUAGGUGCAUAAUUUCACUACAGACGUGGUUUAGAGUGAAGAGUACUAUUUAUCCUGUGUGGCAAUUAGAAACUGAGCAACAGUGAAGCCAACUGAUCGGUGCUCAUUGUUCUAACAGAUAAAUAAAAAAAAU
ensembl:lncRNA